rnacentral:rRNA from 1 species
AUCGAACGCUGGCGGCAGGCCUAACACAUGCAAGUCGAACGGAUGGCGGACGGGUGAGUAGUGGCGGGAAAACUGGCCGAUGGAGGGGGAGAACUACUGGAAAAGGUAGAUAAUACCGCAUACCAUCGGAUGGGCCCAUAUGGGAGUAGGUAGUAGUGAGGGUAAAGGCUCACCGAGGCGACGACCCCUAGCUGGUCUGAGAGGAUAACCGGCCACGCUGGAACUGAGACACGGUCCAGACUCCUACGGGAGGCAGCAGUGGGGAAUAUUGCACAAUGGGCGCAAGCCUGAUGCAGCCAUGCCGCGUGUGUGAAGAAGGCUUUCGGGUUGUAAAGCUCUUUCAGCGGGGAGGCGUUACCCGCCGAAGAAGCACCGGCUAACUCCGUGCCAGCAGCCGCGGUAAUUC